UUUAUUUUAUAUAGCCCUUCGUACAUCAGCUAAUAUUUCGAAGUGCUGUACAGAAACCCAGCCUAAAACCCCAAACAGCAAGCAAUGCAGGUGUAGAAGCACGGUGGCUAGGAAAAACUCCCUAGAAAGGCCAAAACCUAGGAAGAAACCUAGAGAGGAACCAGGCUAUGAGGGGUGGCCAGUCCUCUUCUGGCUGUGCCGGGUGGAGAUUAUAACAGAACUAUGCCAAGAUGUUCAAAAAUGUUCAUAAGUGACAAGCAUGGUCAAAUAAUAAUCAUGAAUAAUUUUCAGUUGGCUUUUCAUAGCCGAUCAUUAAGAGUUGAAAAACAACAGGUCUGGGACAGGUGGCGGUUCCAUAACUGCAGGCAGAACAGUUGAAACUGGAAUAGCAGCAAGGCCAGGCGGACUGGGGACAGCAAGGAGUCAUCAUGCCCGGUAGUCCUGACGUAUGGUCCUAGGGCUCAGGUCCUCCGAGAGAAAGAAAGAGAGAAGGAGAAAAUUAGAGAGAGCCAAGAUUUUCAAAAUGUUCAUAAAUGACAAGCAUGGUCAAAUAAUAAUCAGGAAUAAAUGUCAGUUGGCUUUUCAUAGCCGAUCAUUAGGAGUUGAAAACAGCAGGUCUGGGACAGGUAGGGGUUCCGUAACCGCAGGCAGAACAGUUGAAACUGGAAUAGCAGCAAGGCCAGGCGGACUGGGGACAGCAAGGAGUCAUCAUGCCCGGUAGUCCUGACGUAUGGUCCUAGGGCUCAGGUUCUCAGAGAGGUAAACGAGCAUAACGUCAGGUAAACGAGCGUAGAUAGCUUGUAAAUCAAGCUAGUUAUAGCUAGAAGUCAACAGGGUUGGGUAGGUUACUUUCUAAAUGUAAUCCAUUACAGUUACCUGUCCAAAAUUGUAAUCAGUAACGUAACUUUUGGAUUACCCAAACUCAGUGACUUAACCUGAUUACAUUCAGUUACAGGCAGGGGUUCAGUGAACUGGUCCGUGUCCAAACAGUACAAGGGGAUAGGCAGGCUCGAGGUCAGAAAAGGCAGAGAGGUCAGGCAGGCAGAUUCGGUGUCAGGACAGGCAAGGGUCAAAACCAAGAUGUCUAGAAACAAACAAGAGACUGGGGAAAAAAUAGGCACUAGGAGAACCGCUGGUUGACUUGGGAAAACAAGACAAACCUGCACAGAGAGACAGGAAACACAGGGAUAAAUACACCAGGGACUAAAGGGGAAAACAGGAGACACCUGGAGGUGGGUGGAGACAAUCACAAAGACAGGUGAAACAGAUCAGGGCGUGACAGACAUAGCUUGGACUGUAGCCUACAAAAGCCUAUUGCUGUUUUUUUUUUUAUCCCACGGAUGAUCCAACACAUUUGGUAUGUGUCAUCAUAGUGGUCAGACUCGCGCAGGUGGAACAAACUUAAGCCUUUUUUCAAUGUUCAUUUGAACCUCAUUGAGAAGUGUCAAAGAUUUUUUUUCACAAACAUCCUUUCUGAAUUUAAAAGUUAUCCUUGAAGUAAUCUUGUUUUUCAAAAGUAUCUGUAAUCUGAUGACAAUAUUUUUGCUGGUAACGUAACUGAUUACAGUUAUUUAUUUAUUUUUUACAUGUCAUCCGUUGCUCCCCAACCCUGAGAGUCCCAGUAGUUCUUGUUGCUAAUCUUAUUGUUGCUUCUGUUUUUUCUGGCAGCGUUUAACAGGUGCAAAGAAUUCCCCCAGCAGGGACGAGCACGUCCCAGUCCAGAGUGCAUUCAAGGAUAAACAGCGGGAUGACAUCUACAACCUGAAGGAAACGAUAAACCGUGCAGGAAAGGAGUGAUGAUGCAAAGGUAUACGUGGACCUGCGGAAGGAAGCUGAAGGUUCCGACAAUGAAAACAAAAUUCACAACGAUUUAAAGGCAAUGUUUCUAUCAUUGCAAUUUCACAAAUGUAUGUUAUAGCUGAAAUGUGACAUUUUACUUGUUACAGAGACGAUGCUCUCCUCUUAUAGAGUUGAACUUUUCUUUUGUGGCUGAAAAUAUCUUGUUUCCCCACAGAUCAACCGAAGGUAGCUUUUUCAGUUGGACUUUAUGAAGUUUGUAUCUUAUUAUACAGUGUAUUCAGACCGAUUUACUUUUUCCACAUAUUGUUAUGUUACAGCCUUAUUUUAAAAUGUAAAAACUGUAAAUAAAAAAAUCCCUCAUCAAUCUACAUACAAUACCCCAUAAUGACAAAACAAAAACAGGUUUUUAGACAUGUUUUACGGAAAUAUUACGUUUACAGAAGUAUUCAGACCUUUUACUCAGUACUUUGUUGACGCACCUUUGGCAGCGAUUACAGCCUCGAGUCUUCGUGGGUGUGACGCUACAAGCUUGGUACACCUGUGUUUGGGGAGUUUCUACCACUCUUCUCUGCAGAUCCUUUCAACCUCUGUCAGGUCGGAUGGGGAGCGUUGCUGCACAGUUAUUUUCAGGUCUCUCCAGAGAUGUUCGAUCAGGUUCAAGUGCAGGCUCUGGCUGGGCCACUCAAGGACAUUCGGUCCUGCAGAAAUGUUUUGUUACCCUUCCCUAGAUCUGUGCAUCGACACAAUCCUGUCUCGGAGCUCUACAGACAAUUCCUUCGACCUUGUGGCUUGGUUUUUGCUCUGACAUGCACUGUCAACUGUGGGACCUUAUACAAACAAGUGUGUGUGCCUUUCCAAAUCCUGUCCAAUCAAUUGACUUUACCACAGGUGGACUCCAAUCAAGUUGUAGAAACAUCUCAAGGAUGAUCCAUGGAAACAGGAUGCACAUUAGUAUAAUUUCGAGUCUCAUAGCAAAGGGUCUGAAUACUUAUGUAAAUAAGGUAUUUCUGUCUUUUGCCUUUGAAUACAUUGCAAAAAUGUCUAAAUGCCUUUUUUCACUUUGCCAUUAUGGGGUAUUGUGUGUAGCUUUAUGUGGAAAACAAAUAUUAAAUAGAUUUUAGAGUAAGGCUGUAACGUAACAAAAUGUGAAAAAAGUAAAUUGGUCUGAAUGCGCUGUACCUAGUUUCAGUUCCUGUUUUACCAAAGGUAUAUUUUUCAGUUAGACUUGAUGGUGGGACUCUUGGACCCUAUGGCACCACUAUCACCUUAGUCACAAGAAAGUCAAUAUAAACAUUGGCAACAGAUACAACACAAACACAUGCACUUUUUUUGUGUCAUCUUCUCUGAUUGUCAUUUUUGAUCAAAAUAAACUUUCCCUCCUCCACAAUGUCUUUCCUCUCAAUGGUCUCUCUCUCUCUCUCUCUCUCUCUCUCUCUCUCUCUCUCUGUCACAUGGAUCUUUACAGCACCAGUUAAAGGAGCCUACUAAUUCACUUUCAACAACUACAAGAGAAAUGGAACAGCUAUUGCCAAUGGAUAGGAUCACAACUCCAGCGAUGACAUGGUGAGCACCGUGUCCUUGGAGGUCGGGAAUCGGGUCUGGGUGACCCUCAUCGACAGCACUCCCAUUGGGGGUGAGGAACUGAUCACCACCUUCAAUGGCUUUCUGCUCUUCCCCAUGUGAGGAGAGAGCAGGGCCCGCAUUCAUAAAGCAUCUGAGUAGGAGUACUGAUCUAGGGUCAGUUUUCCUUUUUUUUAAAGAACAUAAUGAAUCAAGGCCCUGGUGUGUAGAAACAAUCCAGUGUAGAGAACCUUACAUAUGUGUCUGUACAGCCAGUGUUAGAAAUGUCAACUUUAAAUAUUUUAGAUUCUUCGAAGGAGCCACCCUUUGCCUUGAUGACAGCUUUGCACACUCUUGGCAUUCUCUCAACCAACCUGGAAUGCUUUUCCAACCGUCUUGAAAGAGUUCCCACAUAUGCCUUCACUCUGCCGUCCAACACAUCUCAAACCAUCUCAGUUGAAAAACAAAUGAUAGUACAACUAAGCGCAAACCAGAUGGGAUGGCGUAUCGCUGCAGAAUGCUGUGGUAGCCAUGCUGGUUAAGUGUGCCUUGAAUUCUACGAAAAUCACCAACAGUGUCACCAGCAAAGCACCCCCACAUCAUCACACCUCCUCCUUCAUGCUUCACGGUGGGAACCACACAUGCUGAGAUCAUCUGUUCACCUACUCUGCGUCUCACAAAGACAAAUUGGUUGGUAACAAAAAAGUCAAAUUGUCAAUAGUCCAAAGGACAGAUUUCCACCGGUCUAAUGUCCAUUGCUUGUGUUUCUUGGCUCAAGCAAGUCUCUUCUUAUUAUUGGUGUCCUUUAGUAGUAGUCUCGUUGCAGCAAUUUGACCAUGAAGGCCUGAUUCACGUAGUCUCCUCCGAACAGUUGAUGUUGAGAUGUGUCUGUUACUUGAGCUCGGUGAAGCAUUUAUUUUUGCUGCAAUUUCUGAGUCUGGUAAUUCUAAUUAAUUUAGCCUCUGCAGAAGAGGUAACUCUGGGUCUUCCUUUCCUGUGGCGGUCCUCAUGAAAGCCAGUUUCAUCGUAGCGCACUUGAAGAAACGUUCACAUUUUCCGGAUUGACUGACAUUCAUGUCGUAAAAUAAUGAUGGACUGUUUCUCUUUGCUUAUUUAGCUGUUCUUGCCGUAAUAUGGACUUGGUAUUUUACCAAAUAGGGCUAUCUUCUCUAUACCACAACACAACUUUUAACAAGGCACACCUGUUAAUUGAAAUGAAUUCCAGGUGACUACCCCAUGAAGCUGGUUGAGAGAAUGCCAAGCGUGUGCAAAGCUGUCAUCAAUGCAUAGGGUGGCUCGUUUGAAGA